rnacentral:rRNA from 1 species
UACGUAGGGUGCGAGCGUUGUCCGGAAUUAUUGGGCGUAAAGAGCUCGUAGGCGGCCUGUCGCGUCGGAUGUGAAAGCCCGGGGCUUAACCCCGGGUCUGCAUUCGAUACGGGCAGGCUAGAGUGUGGUAGGGGAGACUGGAAUUCCUGGUGUAGCGGUGAAAUGCGCAGAUAUCAGGAGGAACACCGGUGGCGAAGGCGGGUCUCUGGGCCGUAACUGACGCUGAGGAGCGAAAGCAUGGGGAGCGAACAGG